rnacentral:misc_RNA from 1 species
UCCCGCUUACACGGGCAGUUCCCAAAGAGUUCCCGACUUUACGCUGGCAACAUUGGGUAAGGGUUGCGCUCGUUGCGGGACUUAACCCAACAUCUCACGACACGAGCUGACGACAACCAUGCAACACCUGUCUCCCGGUCAUAUUGCUAUGAAGAUCCGCUUUCACGGACUGUCCGAGGAUGUCAAACCCUGGUAAGGUUCUUCGGUUAGUGACGAAUUAAUGCACAUGCUCCACCGCUUGUGCGGGCCCCCGUCAAUUCCUUUGAGUUUCAACCUUGCGGCCGUACUCCCCAGGCGGAGUGCUUAUUGCGUUAGCUGCGGCACAAGGGGGGUCGAUACCCCUUACACCUAGCACUCAUCGUUUACGGCGUGGACUAC